rnacentral:rRNA from 1 species
AUCUCAACUUUAUUAGAAGAGACGCAUUUAUUAGAUAAAAAGCCAGUUCAUGCUUUUACAGUAUGAAAAUUGGUGAUUUAUAAUAACUUAGCAAAUCGCAAAGUGAAAACAGGCGAUAAAUCAUUCAAGUUUCUGACCUAUCAGCUUUCGACGGUAUGGUAUUGGCUUACCGUGGCAGUGACGGUUAACGGGGGAUUAGGGUUCGAUUCCGGAGAGGGAGCCUGAGAAACGGCUACCACAUCUAAGGAAGGCAGCAGGCGCGCAAAUUACCCAAUUCUAACAGUUUGAGAGAGGUAGUAACAAGAAAUAACAAUACAAGGCAGUUAAAAUGCUUUGUAAUUGGAAUGAUAGAAAUUUAAACCCUUUUUAAAGUAUCAAUUGGAGGGCAAGUCUGGUGCCAGCAGCCGCGGUAAUUCCAGCUCCAAUAGCGUAUAUUAAAAUUGUUGCAGUUAAAAAGCUCGUAGUUGAAGUUCUGCUGAAAGUAACCGGUCUGCUUUUAAUAAAAGUGGUAUCUUG